rnacentral:rRNA from 1 species
UAAACGAUGGAUACUAGCUGUUUGGUUUAAGGAUUGAGUGGCUAAGCGAAAGUGAUAAGUAUCCCACCUGGGGAGUACGUUCGCAAGAAUGAAACUCAAAGGAAUUGACGGGGGCCCGCACAAGCGGUGGAGCAUGUGGUUUAAUUCGAUGAUACGCGAGGAACCUUACCAAGGUUUAAAUGGGGACUGACAGGGGUAGAGAUACCUUUUUCUUCGGACAGUUUUCAAGGUGCUGCAUGGCUGUCGUCAG